GUAGUCUGGCGUCCGGCGCUGACGGAGCGGCAUCUCUCGACUUUGGGGGGCGGAGCCGCCAGACGCACCAGCUGCAGCGCCGGCCGUCGGAUACGGUAGCAGCAGCUGACACCACGCCAGGUGGUGGACGGAUCCACCGGCAAAGCGUGAUAGUCUGCCGGCGCUGCAGAGGCGAGUGAGUUGAAAGGAGGGCACGCCAGGAGAAGCGGUGUGGGACGCACCGCCUCAGGCGCUUCGUCGGCUGCAAGGUCGGCGCCCGUACCUGGCGUCAGACAGAGCCCGCCGCAGACACCAGCGCCGGGCGCCGGAGAGUGCGGCGGCGCAGCCGCGGAGUCGGGAGACUGCAACGCAGCAGGCGUCUGCGGGAAGACAUCUCGCCGCGCCGCCGACGGUGUUAGUGUCGUGUUCGGGAGUUGGGAGCGGACCGUGCCGAUGCGUCUUGAAUGACGGAGGACCGCCGCACAGCGCUGAGGCUUCCGUGACGGCCGGUUCUCGUCGGCUGUUGUGGUCGGUGGACGUUGAGGUUCAGUGCAGUGAGAGUGAGUAGCCGUGACACAAGUCGCCAUGAGCCGCUCCGGUUGGACCAUGUCCCUCCAGCGGCCGUCCAAGCUCGGCGGCAAGAAAAUCACCAGAAACGCAUCCAACGAGAUGGUGAGCCGUCGCCGCAUCCUGAGUCGGUCGCGGGACGACCUGAACCUCGAAGCCGCCUAUCAGGAGGAGGAGGACGACGUCUGGUACAAGAAGGAUAAACUGC